UGUUAUGUACCCCUAUAUGCUGGCUUCUAGAGGAUAUGGAGACGUAACACACACACACACACACACACACACAAAAAUGAUUAUUAAAAUGUUGUUAGAAGUAAGGUACUUUUCUCUAUUAAGGAGAUGUGAUAUGUGAAAUUAGGAAACAGGCAGAGACGAAAACUGAAUUUGUACUUGCUUUUAGUAAGAAAAAUAAUUCAAUAUAUCAAAACACCCAAUAAUACAAUAAACAGUGAACCAAACAUACAUCCAAAACAAAUAAAUACCUAUUUACAAAUUAUAUACAAAUGUAAAGGAUUAACGAUAACAAAGCGAGAGACAGGAGCAGUGCUAAAGAAAAGAAAUCAAUAAAACAUAAACACGUUAAAUAACCCCAACACAAACACUAAGCUAAACAAAAGAAAACAGGAAAAUAACAUCUUCAGUGUAGAACGCCACUAACUACACUAUCUAAUAACAUAAAUACAUAAAUUGGCACCCGCUCAUAACCUAGUGUGUUUAAAUAACUUUACGUGCUGUGAGAUGUAAGUCACGUGACAUACUAACCUAGUCCCAUCACUAUGUAUUGGAGAAGGAUUUGAAUAAACUCUGGUAAACAGAGAAUCAAGUCACAACAUAAACUCAAUAAUACAGCGUCAUGAGGAGUAAAGUUCCAACAGAAGAAAAUAACACACAAUAACUAAAUCAAAAUGAAACUAAGCAAGGGCAAACAAAAACAAACAAGAGCAAGCAAGAUCAAAUGCAGGCGAGCAAACAAAGGAAAAGCAAAUGCUCCUCCCGCACUUGUGUCACAUCCGGGUCUUUAUACGCGCCCACUAGCAUCUGAUUGGUUCUCGGGAUGGCGCGUGGACCCAAUGACUGACAGAAACAUCGUCCAAUCACAGGACCUGUGAGGUGAGAUAGCGAAAGAGAGGGAGAAAACAAUAAGGGAUGUAACAGAGAUCUGGAGAGAUUUAAUGUCUUUCAUCUUCAGUUGAUUUCAUCUAAGGCUGUGGCUGAAGUCAGUUGUAGUUCUUGUGUUUCUGCUCGUCUCUUUUUCUGUUCUCUUCUUUCCUUCAGUGAUUCUGCUUGUUAACAGGCUUAUUAAGGCUGAGAUGACUCUAUAUUUAAUACACACAGAUUUUGUGGCUCAGAUAAGGUCCAGUUCUGGUUUAUUUCUUUGCUCUUGGCUGAUAUGUGGCAUUGCUAUGGCCUGCUUGUGGCCCAGAUCUGGCAAACAGAAAUGGCCCACACAAGGACCGUAAUUCAUUGCAGCAUGUGGGCCAGAUCAUCAUGCCACAUGUGCCAGAUGUGGGCCGGAUCUGGGCCGACACAAUGUUGCUAUCUGGGGUGCAUAAAUUAUUUAAAAAAAAAAGAAAAACCUGACCCGAGACAGACCCGACAAAAUUAGACCUGAGUCUGACCCAACAGCAUUUAGCCUAUUUUCGAACCCGACUGGACCCGAACGUAAACGGCAUUGACGUGUCUACAGCCUGCAGCCCCGCAGUCAUUUAGGAAAAAUCCCGGUGUCCUGCUGACUGAUUUUGUUGCUGCUCCAUACUUUCAUUUAUUUAUUUACUUAUUUAAUAGCUAUUAUUUUAUAUUAUUGCCUGCCCGAUUGAUACACGUUAUUUCUGAGUUCGGCUUUCAGUUGUGACCAGUGUAUUUGGAUUUGUGCUGUCUGCAACGCUAUUUACCUCAUCUCUGCUGAAGUGCUUCUGCAAAGAAGAAAAGCCUGCAUGAACACGCAGCGUAAUGAAGCGAGUGGCUUUUCCUGAUGGAUCUCAUAGCUAUAAGAUGGAUUUCUGUGUGCAACAUUACAGACGUUUGUUCCUUUCCUACGUGCGUUUCUCAAAAAUGCACUUUACAUGAAUGCAGAAACGCGGAUUCAAAGAGAACUUAGAAAAAGUGAGAUAACAUUGUCAUAGAAUUGUUUUAAAUAAUACAAUUUUGUUAAAUGCCCGACAUAGUUUAAAAGAAUUCGGAUGUUCUCUAGUCCAUUCGGAAAAAGCACAUUUAUUUUAAACUACCCGAGGCCAUGAUACCAAACCCGACCCGUGUCAGAGGCACUCAUCGGAGUUUUGGACCCGAACCUGGUCGGGUCUCGGGUUUUCGGAUCCAAGUGGACCCGUGAAGACCUGACCUUGAUCAGAUCUGUGUCUACAAUAUUUAACAGCAACACUUUUAAGAAAAAAGUCACAUUCCUGUUCAUAUGCAUAAGAUAUCAUGAUGUACGAUUUUUAAUUACCAUGUUAAUGGAUGAUACAGACUAUUUGGUAAAACUUUAGAAUAGGGAACAUGUAUUCACUAUUAACUACGACUUAUCCCUCAAUAGACUCCUAAUUUACUGCUUAUUAAUAGUUAGUAAGUGUAACGCAGUUCGUAUGCACGGGAAGAAGGAGGCGGGAACCGGCGAACGUUCAACACAACUUUAAUAUAUAAAAUAAACAAAUACAAAACGAAAGUAAUGCCGGCAAACACUCACAGACGUCUGCCAGCCACACAAACAUAAUAAAACCAUAAAAUAAAGUCCAGGCCUGGUCCUCCCUCGUCCUUCACUGCCGUUGCUCCCCUUUUAUGCUUCCGGAGCUCCUCCAUGAGAAACUCGAGACCGGUGCAAAGCGCAGCUGACGCUCAAUAACACUCGUGUCACCAGCCUUGCGCCGUUCCCUCACGGAUCUCGCCCGCCCUGCUCGUCACAGUAAGUUAGUUGUUAAGUUUAGGUAUUGGGUAGGAUUAGGAAUGUAGAAUAAGGUCAUGUAGAAUAAGGCAUUAAUAUGUGUUUAAUAAUUAUUAAUAAACAGCCAGUAUACUAGAAAUAUGCAUGCUAAUAAGCAACUAGUAAAAAGACCCUAAAAUAAAAUGUUACCGACUAUUUUUGUUAGUUCAUACAGCAUUAACUAAUUUGUAUAAACUGAGAACAAAUACUUUUAACCAUAUAAUUUUGAAAAUAUGUUAAUAAAUGUGUAACCAUAGUAAAAUGUCUCCCUUGGCUGUAUGUGAUAAUAUUAUUUCCUAAUGUAUGUUCAUGUUGUGAACUUGUGACAAAUAGCACUUAAAGACACGCAUUUAAUGGGCAUUUAAUGUCAAAAUAUAGGCCUAUCAUUGCAAAUCCUUCAACAAGUGAAACAUGCAUUUAAGCCAAUGAGACAUUUGACAAAAGAAGCAUGACGGAGAAUACGGGAUGAAAAGACUGAGGUUUUUCCACAGAAAUGCCAUGAAAAUGGACUUAAGAGUCAACAGUUUUGUGUUUUAAGAUGAUUAUUUGUUGUAUGUAUGUUUUUGUUUUUAUUAUGAACUAUUUUAAUACGUUUUAAACCUAUUAUUUUAGAAAUAUUUUUUUAAGUAUCCUAUUUGUUUUCAUACAGAUAAACACACUUUUCACUUGUUCAAAGCUUUGCAUUAAAUGAUUAUUUUUAUUUGACAUGAAAUAUGUCACAUACUCUAUGUGUCACGGAAAAGAACUCCGCUAUUCCCUCCUCUGACCAUCAGAGGGAGCCCUCUCCCGAAUACUAACACACACACACCCCACCACACACUACAUUUCCCAGAAGCCCGUACCUUGGACCAAUCACCUCUCAGCUGUUGCCAAUCAACCGGACUAUAAAGGACUCUCUCGCGCUUCUCAUUGUCGCGAAGUCUUGUAUUGCCACGGUGUACAUCUCUGAGCGUUUUCUUGUAUUGUCUGCCUGCCUGUUAUUGAUCUUGUUUUGCCUCUUAUCUACGAUUCUCUGCUGCCUGCCCAUGGAACCCUUUGACUGUUAUCUGGACUGUGAGUGUUAUCUGCCUGCCCCGACCUUUUGCCUGUACCCUGACUACGAUUCUGUCUGUCCCUUGCCAUUCCUGUUUGCCCCUGUCCGACCUUGCCUGUUGUACCACGCUUUCCUUUAAUAAAAGCCUGUAAAUGGA